rnacentral:rRNA from 1 species
AGUGAACGCUGGCGGUAGGCCUAACACAUGCAAGUCGAACGGCAGCACAGUAAGAGCUUGCUCUUACGGGUGGCGAGUGGCGGACGGGUGAGGAAUACAUCGGAAUCUACUUUUUCGUGGGGGAUAACGUAGGGAAACUUACGCUAAUACCGCAUACGACCUACGGGUGAAAGCAGGGGAUCUUCGGACCUUGCGCGAUUGAAUGAGCCGCUGUCGGAUUAGCUAGUUGGCGGGGUAAAGGCCCACCAAGGCGAGGAUCCGUAGCUGGUCUGAGAGGAUGAUCAGCCACACUGGAACUGGGACACGGUCCAGAGUCCUAAGGGAGGCAGCAGUGGGGAAUAUUAGACAAUGGGCGCAAGCCUGAUCCAGCCAUACCGCGUGGGUGAAGAAGGCCUUCGGGUUGUAAAGCCCUUUUGUUGGGAAAGAAAAGCAGCAGGUUAAGACCCCGCUGUUCUGACGGUACCCAAAGAAUAAGCACCGGCUAACUUCGUG